rnacentral:rRNA from 1 species
CAGCAGUCAAGAAUAUUAGUCAAUGGCCUAACGGCUGAACUGGCAACUUGGAGAAGUGGCAAGUCUUCCAGUAUGGGGAGCAAAACAGCUAUGGGUCAAGUCCGAUAUCUUUAGGAGAAGUCUUAUUGUGAGGGCGAGUUAUAUAACACCAUAGGACUGGCCGUCCCAUAUGAAAAGAUUAUAUUAGAAUUGAAUGAAGCUUUGUUUAUAUAUUGAUAAUGACAGUAUAUAUAUCGUGUCUUGACUAAUUGCGUGCCAGCAGUCGCGGUAAUACGUAAGAGACUAGUGUUAUUCAUCUUAAUUAGGUUUAAAGGGUACCCAGACGGUCAAUAUAGCUUAUAAAAUGUUAGUACUUGACUAGAGUUUUAUGUAAGAGGGCAGUACUUGAGGAGGAGAGAUGAAAUUUCGUGAUACCAAAGGGACUCUGUAAAGGCGAAGGCAGCCCUCUAUGUAAAAACUGACGUUGAAGGACGAAGGCACAGAGAACAAACAGGAUUAGAUACCCAAGUAGUCUUUGCAGUAAAUGAUGAAUGCCAUAGGUUAGAUUAAUCAAAUAUAGUCUAGGGUGUUAGUCUAGCAAACUAAUGACCUAUACUAUAAUGAUAAAUAUCUGGUCUAUAAAUGAAAGUGUAAGCAUUUCACCUCAAGAGUAAUGUGGCAACGCAGGAACUGAAAUCACUAGACCGUUUCUGACACCAGUAGUGAAGUAUGUUAUUUAAUUCGAUAAUCCGC